GACGAACGCUGGCGGCGUGCUUAACACAUGCAAGUCGAACGGAAAGGCCCUGCUUUUGUGGGGUGCUCGAGUGGCGAACGGGUGAGUAACACGUGAGUAACCUGCCCUUGACUUUGGGAUAACUUCAGGAAACUGAGGCUAAUACCGGAUAGGAGCUCCUGCUGCAUGGUGGGGGUUGGAAAGUUUCGGCGGUUGGGGAUGGACUCGCGGCUUAUCAGCUUAUUGGUGGGGUAGUGGCUUACCAAGGCUUUGACGGGUAGCCGGCCUGAGAGGGUGACCGGCCACAUUGGGACUGAGAUACGGCCCAGACUCCUACGGGAGGCAGCAGUGGGGAAUAUUGCACAAUGGGCGGAAGCCUGAUGCAGCAACGCCGCGUGCGGGAUGACGGCCUUCGGGUUGUAAACCGCUUUCGCCUGUGACGAAGCGUGAGUGACGGUAAUGGGUAAAGAAGCACCGGCUAACUACGUG
rnacentral:rRNA from 1 species